CCUUGAGGUCCUUUUACAUCUUGAACAGGCUCAUGCACUUUUAGGGUAGGGUGUGGCUCUCUUGAAUAUUCAGCAUUUAUAAUCAUUCAAAUGAAUUUUUAUGUAUUUGAUUCCAUUUUAUUAUGCAUGAAAAAACUACACCCACAAUUAUUUUGAAGACCUGCCUGUCUCUCUAGAGACAGGUUACAGGUUCUAGCAUAUCAGGCUUGUGUAGGAUCAUAGUCUUAAAGUCCAUUGCCUAUGGACUUUGAGUACUGUUUGAAAGUGUUCUAAAGCCAUUGUGAUUCCCAAUACUUUACAUACAAGUUUUCUUCUUUCUUCUCUAGAAGUUUGUGAAAUCUCCUCUUUGUCUCCCAUGUUCUACAAAUGUGCUUUCCUGACUCUCUGCUAAGAAUGAAGCUCCACAACAACUUUUCUGUGGGAUUUACUUGGUUGUUCCAUAGGCAGGUUAAACACCACUUGUCAAAAACACAUCUUCCUCUCGUCUUUGACCAGAACCCUGCUCCUUUGCCUGUAUUCCAGCUAUUCUUUAUUUCUACUGCCAUCUAUCAUUUAUCUGGGGCUAACACUAGGUCUCGUUCAUAGCUUCUCUGUACCCUUCAUUGCACAUACUAUUAGGACCAUAAUCUGAUUAUUUCUAUGUUUGCCUACAAAUUUAUUGAGUUUUUGUCUCUUCUUGUUUAACUACUAUAAGCUGUAAACUCCUCUCUUCUUGACUACUGUAACAACCUCCUCAUGGAUGAUUCUGCUACAUGACUUGGACUCUUAGCAAAGUUGCUGGUUAUUCAUCUAAAUAGAACUCUGACCUUGGCCUCUGCUUAUGAGCUUCAAACUUCUGACUGUUUACAAAGUGAAAUAGAGGCUCCUCAACAAGACACUUGAGGUCUUCCGUGAACUGAUUCCUACCUACUUAACUGUCUCAGUCUACUUAGGUGUGAUGGUUAAUAUUAGGGGUCAACUUGAUUGGAUUGAUGGAUGCCUAGUUAGCUGGUAUAGUAUUGAUCUGGGUGUGUCUGUGAGGGUGUUGCCAGAGGAGAUUGACUUUGAGUCAGUGGCCUGGGAGAGGAAGGCCCUCCCUCGUUGUAGGUGGGCACCAUCCAAUCAGCUGCCAGUGUGGUUAGAAAAAAAGAGGCAGAAGAAAGUGGGAUAACUUUGCUUGCUGAGUCUUCUGGCUCUGUUUUUCUUUUUUCCAUGCUGGACACUUGCUUCCAUUCCUCCUACCCAUGGACAUCGGGCUCCAAAUUCUUCAGCCUUUGGACUCUGGGACUUGCACCAGCAGCUUCCAGGGGGCCCUCGGGCCUUUGGCCACAGACCGAAGGCUGCACUGUUGACUUCCCUGAUCUUGAGGCUUUUGGACUUGGAGCCAUUUCUUGCUUCUCUCUUCCCCAACUUGCAGAUGGCCUAUCAUGGGAUUUUGCCUUGGAAUCAUGGCCAGUCUGAAAGUUGAUUGCCUGUAUCAGCUCUACCAAAUUACUAGGCCUUCCAUAUUCUCCCACGACUCAAGACCAACAAAUUUCAUAUGCCAUUUUUCAUGGACUCUAGCAGCGAUUGUUUCUGGCUAAAAGUUACUUCAACUCACCACCCCUGUCACAAAACCCGUUAUGAGAGAAGCUCCUAUUAGCUUUAGCCAAGCCCUGCGAGCAAGGUUAGAACAGCAUUUGGAGGCUGUGGGAUCUUCUUUGUGUAGGUCAUGAUCUAUUCAGGCCCCAAGCACACGUUGCCUAGGUCCCAGAGAGGUUUGCAUCAGAACUGAGAACCUGAGAGUACAAGGAGCUUGUGUGGAUAAAGGCUAACCAAGGAUCAGAUUCCCCUACCCAGACUGCCCAUGUCUUGAUCUUGUCUGAAUUUGACAAGAUGUUUAUGCUGCUCCAAGGAAAUGAAAGAGAGGGAAGAAUCUCUGAAGUGACUCUAUCUGCCCUUCUGCUACCAGACAGAAAUGGAAACAAAUAUUAAUAGAGGAAAAUAAAGUUAUAGCUUGAAAUAGUAUAUCCAUUGCAUAUGCUAUUCAAAAGAUCCAGCUUAACUCUUUUCUUCCUUGCACUGGCUGGUGUCUUGGUAUCCUAUAAAGACAGUCUAAAAUAACAUUAUGAAAGAAAUGUUAUAUUUUUGUUAUAGAAAGUGCUAGAGCUGAAUUGUGGCAUUCCCCACCCGCAAUUAAUAUGUGAAAACCUUAUCCCCUAAUCUGACUAUAUUUUGAGAUAGGGCUUGUAAGGAGGUAAUAAAGGUUAAAUGAAGUCAUCAGGAUGUGGUCCUAAUCCACUAGGGUUGGUGCCCUUAUAAGAAGAGGAAGGGACAACACGGAUUUCUCUCUCUGCCAUAUGAGGACACAGUGAGAAGGUGGCCAUCUGGAAGCCAAGAAGAGAGCCCUCACCAGAAGCUGAGCUCUGCUGGAACCUUGAUCUUGGAAUUUCUAGC
rnacentral:lncRNA from 10 species